rnacentral:rRNA from 1 species
CGGGCUUGGUUAAUACUUGGAUGGGAGACGCCUGGGAAUACCAGGUGCUGUGAGCCUUUUC